rnacentral:misc_RNA from 1 species
GCAUCAUACAAGCUAACAUACAAAAUGCCCAUUAAAACAUUGUGCUAGUCUGAUAUAUACAUGUGUAAUAGCCAAGCAAGUUUCACAACUUCCUAGUUCAAAUGACGCGUCACACUUGGGUAUCUCAACAUCUCUUUUCGCAGAAAAGUUUCAGUUCCAUUAAGUCAAUGUAGCCUCAGGAUUAGGAUCAACAUCUGUUUUCAAAUGCCAUUUGCCAAGGGGAUUAAUCACCAACCAAUGCUCGUGGUCUAUGCUCUAUGGUAACCAGGGACAUUCCUGUCUGUGAAACAGCUCUGGCAAAUGCCAUGUUUGCAGUUAUAGUAGGAGCAUGCCAAUAAUCACCAGUCCCAAAAGCUACCUUGUUUUUUAAUGCCAAUUUUCUGGUUGUUGGAAGGCUCAUUAGCCGUUCUGACGGGCAAUCAGGCACAACCCUUAGAUGGUUCAGAAAGUGCUCUGCUCUAGACUUCUCAUUAGGCCCACCACACAUCGAAACAAGCUCCUGAAAUUCUGCACAAACACUUUCACAAACUAUGCCUCGCUUUUGCAAUAUAGAAGGCAUCAGCUCCAUAUGGAUUGGCUUCUUCAUUUCAGAAUUCACCUGUCCAAUCAU